UACGAAGGGGGCUAGCGUUGUUCGGAAUUACUGGGCGUAAAGGGCGCGUAGGCGGUCCUGAUCGUCGGAUGUGAAAGGCCUGGGCUCAACCUGGGAACUGCAUCCGAUACGGCGGGACUGGAGUGUGGGAGAGGUUGGUGGAAUUCCCAGUGUAGAGGUGAAAUUCGUAGAUAUUGGGAGGAACACCAGUGGCGAAGGCGGCUACCUGGACCGGAACUGACGCUGAUGCGCGAAAGCGUGGGGAGCAAACAGG
rnacentral:rRNA from 1 species